ACGGAAGGCAGCAGUGGGGAAUAUUGCACAAUGGGGAAACCCUGAUGCAGCGACGCCGCGUGAAGGAUGACGUAUUUCGGUAUGUAAAGCUCUAUCAGCAGGGAAGAUAAUGACGGUACCUGACUAAGAAGCCCCGGCUAACUACGUGCCAGCAGCCGCGGUAAUACGUAGGGGGCAAGCGUUAUCCGGAUUUACUGGGUGUAAAGGGAGUGUAGGUGGUCUGGCAAGUCAGAUGUGAAAGCCCGCGGCUCAACCGCGGGACUGCAUUUGAAACUGUCAGACUGGAGUGCAGGAGAGGAAAGUGGAAUUCCUAGUGUAGCGGUGAAAUGCGUAGAUAUUAGGAAGAACACCAGUGGCGAAGGCGGCUUUCUGGACUGUAACUGACACUGAGGCUCGAAAGCGUGGGGAGCAAACAGGAUUAGACCCUGGUA
rnacentral:rRNA from 1 species